rnacentral:rRNA from 1 species
AAAAACAUAGCCUUUAGCAAAACAAGUAUUAAGGUCUAGCCUGCCCAGUGAAAAUUUUAACGGCCGCGGUAUCCUAACCGUGCAAAGGUAGCGUAAUCAUUUGUCCCCUAAAUAGGGACUUGUAUGAAUGGCUAACUGAGGUUCUAACUGUCUCAUCGGGCCAAUCAAUGAAACUGAUCUUUCAGUACAAAAGCUGAAAUAAUAACAUAAGACGAGAAGACCCUGCGGAGCUUAAAAUCCACACUAUAAACUGAUACUUCCCCUCGGCAAAGAAACAUAAUCAAAUUAAUAGCACAAAUUUUUGGUUGGGGCGACCUUGGAAUCAAAAAAAACUUCCAUGCCAGGGACAUUCCCUAUCAAGGCAGACAUGCCAAAACAACCCCUUAUUGACCCAGGCCUAACUGAACAACGAACCAAGUUACCCCAGGGAUAACAGCGCCAUCCCCCUUAAGAGUCCCUAUCGACAGGGGGGUUUACGACCUCGAUGUUGGAUCAGGACACCCCGGUGGUGCAACCGCUACCAAAGGUUCGUUUGUUCAACGAUUAACAGU